UUAUUUUACAGAUGAAAAAUUUGGAGUCUAGUGAAAAGAAGUGACUUGCUCAAAGUCACACAGCACAUGAAGAACAGAGCCUCUAUGAUGAAUUUCUUGACAGUGAUAUAAGUCUUUUGAGGUACAGCCUGGCACAAAAAGGAUGAGAUUUGUGGGCAGAAUUUUGGAAGAAUAUCUCCCGAGAGAACAUUCAGGACAGUUGCACUGCUUUGGAGAGCUGGUGAUGAAAUCCGGCCAUUGAAUUACACUGCACUAUAAACUUCAUUUGUUCUUGGGUGCAUAGUGAUUUGCUAUAAUAAUGAUCAUCCAUUUGCCAGACAGCUGAGAUUUUUUAAAAGCUUGAUUGCUUUUGGCAUGGCAUUAUUAGUCCUGGAAGAAGGCAGCACAUUUGUAGCAAUUCUCAGCUUGAGCAAACUAGAAUAUUCACCUCCCACAAAUGCUGGCCAUUUAAGAUCUGCGUGUUAGACUUUGGCAUUUUUUCUAGCAAUUCUACAACAGCAUGCACACUUUUAUUUUUCAUUAACACCAUUGUGAAUAUGCCCAUCUCUAAAAUUUC
rnacentral:lncRNA from 1 species